AGGGAAUCUUCGGCAAUGGGGGCAACCCUGACCGAGCAACGCCGCGUGAGUGAAGAAGGUUUUCGGAUCGUAAAACUCUGUUGUUAGAGAAGAACGUUAAGUAGAGUGGAAAAUUACUUAAGUGACGGUAUCUAACCAGAAAGGGACGGCUAACUACGUGCCAGCAGCCGCGGUAAUACGUAGGUCCCAAGCGUUGUCCGGAUUUAUUGGGCGUAAAGCGAGCGCAGGUGGUUUCUUAAGUCUGAUGUAAAAGGCAGUGGCUCAACCAUUGUGUGCAUUGGAAACUGGGAGACUUGAGUGCAGGAGAGGAGAGUGGAAUUCCAUGUGUAGCGGUGAAAUGCGUAGAUAUAUGGAGGAACACCGGAGGCGAAAGCGGCUCUCUGGCCUGUAACUGACACUGAGGCUCGAAAGCGUGGGGAGCAAAC
rnacentral:rRNA from 1 species